AAAGAGGAAGGAGAUUUUCCUUUUGGAAUUGAGGAUCUGUUGUACUAUGUGAAGAGAAUUGAGGAACAACAAUUUAAUCUGGACCUUGGAGCUCUUAAACAAUACUUUCCGUUCAAUUUGGUCAUGUCAGGGAUCUUGAAAAUAUGCCAAGACCAUUUUGGUAAUUACAUGAUGUUUCCAUUGCUUGACUUAAGUAUUUUGCUUGGCUAAUUCAUCUACUAAGCUCUCAUCUUCCUUUGCUUCAUGCAUAUUUAAGAUUUGAAGAAAUUGCAGAUGCUGAGGUUUGGCACUCUUUGAUGUUCACCUUUAUUCAGUCUAUGACUUAUCUUCUAAUGAACUUUUGGGCUAUUUCUACCUUGAUAUGUUCUCCAGGGAGGGAAAAUAUGGUCACACCUGUGUUGUAGCACUUCAGAAUGGUUCUUUUGUCAAUGGUGCACAAAAGGUGAUGAUUCCUAUGGCAUUACUUGCUUCUCAACGUCAAAAGGAAGUUGGUCGUACUAUGUUGAGAUUCUCUGAAGUGGUUAAUCUUUUCCAUGAAUUUGGCCAUGUGUGAGUGACGUGAUUUUUCAUCUAUGGUGAGCUUUUAGUUCCAUCAUAUUUGCAAUCGUGCGUCAUUUGCUAGAUUUUUGGGGCUUUGGCUUGACCCUGACUUUGUGGAGACCCAACCCAGGUGUUAGAAAACUGGUUAGUAGUUAAGCAUACAGUUAUUCAAUUAGACAAAGCACAAACUCAUGCUCCCACCUUUUGGUUUAUUAUCUAACAGUAAUUUGGUUUCUAAUUUUUUCCUAUAAAAAAGAAUUUAUUAUCUAACAGUAAUUUGGUUUCUUUGGCUAUCUUUUCGACCAUGACUUUGAAAUUUGCAUUACCCUGCAUCUUUUGCAGCCCGGGAAUCUGCUUCUAGACUCA